rnacentral:rRNA from 1 species
GACGAACCGUGCGAACGUUAUUCGGAAUCACUGGGCUUAAAGCGCGUGUAGGCGGUCCGGUAAGUCGGCUGUGAAAGUCCAGGGCUCAACCCUGGGAUGCCGGUCGAUACUGCCGGACUAGAGUUCGGAAGAGGCGAGUGGAAUUCCCGGUGUAGCGGUGAAAUGGCGCAGAUAUCGGGAGGAACACCAAUGGCGAAGGCAGCUCGCUGGGACGUUACUGACGCUGAGACGCGAAAAGCGUGGGGAGCGAACAGG